GGGGGUGUAAGCUUAGCGGUAAACUGCGGGUCUCCAAAACCCGACUCCUCCGUUCGAAUCGGAGCACCCCCG
rnacentral:tRNA from 1 species